GUCUACAACCAUACCAUCCUGAUCCUGGACACUAUGCAGGGCUGGGCCUGGCCAGAAUAUGCAUGGGAGACUGCCUGGGAAUACUGGGUGCCAUAGGAU
ensembl:rRNA 5S_rRNA 5S ribosomal RNA